GCAGAAUUUAAAAAAACAAAAACAAAUGAGUAAUACAAAGGCCUCAAGUGUUGUAAAGGAUGACAUUGACUGAACUCCUUCAAGGAGAGGAAAGUGUAAAAAUGUCACAGAUAAAAACCAGCAAUGUGAAGGUAGGUCCUCAGAUUAUAUCCUUUUAUCGCAAAGAAAGAUUGUUGAUCAUUUUUCAUGGCUAACUGGCUUCCGCAAGACCAGUCACUACAGAUGUCAUUUUGGUGGCUAAACAUUUAUUUGAUCCUUUAGUGAUUUCUUUGCACAUUUGGAAGGGAUAAUACAAUGACCCCUUUUUUAAAAGACAGAACUGGAAAAGCAUAAUUACAUGAAUAGUUUUCAACAGGAUCAAGAAAGGAACAAAAACUCAGUAAGUCUAAUGUGAGGUAAGAAACACUACUUCUUCAAUGGUUUGUCCUCUGAAAGGAGAAUAUAAAACAUCUCUAACUCAUAGGCAGAUGUGUUUACUGCCCAAAUGCAAAGACUUAACUCAUUUUCUGUUCUCUUCAUCUAUUCAAAUAUCUCUGAAAGUACAGUGAUGUUUUGAUAUUGAUUGGUUCAUUUUCCUUGAACUGAAAGGGAAUUCUGAAAUCUGAAAAAUGUUGUAUAAUAUGACCUUUGCUUUAGGACCUUCUGAACAGAAACCUUCAGUAUUAUAACAUUCAAGGCAAGGAAGCUAACAACUCAUAUAAAGCGACCACAAAACUGAGUAUGAUGUAAGGAAACAGCAUGCUUCUGGAGGGACAUGCAAGAAAAAUACGAAAGUGAUGGUAAGUCCUUAGGUGUCGGCUCUUUACAGAUAAGAAAACAGAUUAUUAAUUACUUUCCCUUCCCAUUGGCCUGUUAGAACCAAUCAUUGAAGAGUCACCUUUAAAUAUUUCUACUUCCUUUACAGAUUUAAAGGGAUUUUUGUAAAUUGAAAUGAGAUGUAGUUCCUUCUUUAGUCCAGAAUGCUGCUAUGUUACUGGUUUAUUCAAUACUAACAAAUGCCCGUGAAUGACAAUAUUAAAAAUCUUGAAAGCAUGAAAUACAACCUUUUCUAGAUUUCUUUUGGAAACCAACAGGAAGAUGCAUCUACAGUAAUGUUAACAGCAUAGGUGUAAUGUAGAGGGAGAGGAAUAGGAGACAGUGGAAGGUAAGGAAUUAAUACCUCCAGUAAGUCAGCAAAGUACUCUUGCAGUUACUUAGUUUUUGCUUUCUGAUGCUUACUGCACGGUAUGUGUGAUAACAAAGAAAGGAAGACUUCUGCUAGAAUAACCCUGAACCCAAAGUGUAGAGAAGAUGCCUUAUUUAAAAAGAAAGGAAGAUGAAACGAGUCAACUCUUCUCUUAUUUACUUAUCUGAAGUUGGAGAUGCUGAAAGGUAAGACUGAUCAAAACUGGUAGAGUGGUGGUGCUUAUUUGUAAAGAAAGUUUGAAAAAACAUACAGAGAUUGUGCUGCUUUUAGAAGACACAGAACAACGCUAAGGAUUCUGGAUAAAGAGGUAAGAAACAAUUCUCAUUUCUAGAACAAGAAAAUGUACUGGAAUGAAAAAAAAUCCAGGAAAUGAGGUAGGUACUUCCUGAUUUUCCAGUGGUAAAUUCUGUCUUUCCCUGACUCUCUAAAUAACCUUUAGUUAAAAUUAGUAUUUCAAGGGGUAAUGGUAUUUUUCCAGUCAAGAUAAUGCAUUCAACCAGUAGGAAAACAAACUAAUGACAUUCACUUAAUUGUUUCUCACAAGCAACAAACCCAGAGUAAAAAUACUGCUGUGGGAUAAGAGCUAUGGGAAGAGUUUUAAGAAGAUAAUGGUGAGUAUGCCAACAUGGAGAUAAGUUCAUAAGAGACAGGUAGGUUCUUUACUGAAACAAGCAGAUUCUUCACUCCUUUUUUCUUCCUGGCUGGUCUAUUAAAACCAUGUUUACUUAAAUAUUCACUUGUCUGAUGGUUUUUUUUUUUUUGCAGGUUUGAAAGCAGCUUUGCCUCUUAAAAACAUUGGUAACUGAAAGCAAAAGUUAAGUUGAAAUGUUGUACUUUAAGAAGAGGAUGCGUAAAACAUCAUAAAUAAAUAUCACUCCACAGGUAGGGCCCAAAGAGGCAUCUUUUGUCUUUGGAAGUCAUGUAUGUCCUUAUGUUUGUUAGUUUCUUAGUUGUUAUAGGUAAUAUAGAAGGAGAAAUUGAUUGUUUGCAUGUAGAUCUGUUUGAUUUGUGUUUUUCCUGAUUUUUUGUUUAUGUAGUUUACCUUAUAUGUAAUUUUCUGAACAAAAUAGUCUCUGAUCUUUUCUGCUUUUUGACCAAUUCAACCAAAAUCAUGAAUAUUUUUUCUGACUGAUCAUGUAGUGAGAGAUUUCUUUGCAGGGAAUGCCCUGACUUUGAAAUUGUAAUCUUUUACAUCUUUAAAAAAGGGAGUAUGAUGAAAAGCAGAAAUACUUUGUAAUUUGUGUCUACUGGACUAUGCUCAUAAUAAGAUGUCUUGUGUGAAGUGAAAAAUAUGUAUUUAAAGAAUGCCCCCUAUUUGGGAAGAGCAACAUGUGAAGGUAUGUUCUCUAAAUGUCUUUAUUGCCAGUUCCCUAGCUAUAUAUGUGAUGUUUUUCUGUUGAUCUUUCCAAACCAAUAAUCGAAACCAGUUUAAACAGCUUCCUUUUGCAGAGAAGAAGGUACCCCUUUCAUUGGUUAUUUUGGAUAUGGGGAGAGAUUUGGGGUAAGUAAAGCUAAGUUAUGCAUCAUUUGUUAUUGUUAUUGUUUUUGUGGCAACAACAAAAACAACAAUAAUACUUUAUUUUUCUAUCCCGCCUCCAUCUCCCCACAGGGACUCGGGGUGGCUAACAUGGGGCCAAGCCCAAAGAGCAAACAGUGAACAAAAUAAAAAUACAUAUGUAAACAACAUCAAAUAGGCAAAAGAUAUUCACCUCCCUAACCUGCUCCUGAAAGGGCUUGGCUUCCAGAUCUCUCACCAUUUUGGAUGCCUUCUUCUGGACACAUUCAGCUUGACAAUAUCCUUCUUAAAUUGUGAUAGUGAAGAAGGAAAAACAGCCUCUUUGAAGUCAAUAUUCACAUUUGAUCAUCAUAGCACGUCCAGUCGAUGAAAAAGGAAUCAUACCACCAUUGCCCUGAUUUCAUUCAGGUUGUUUUUCCAUGGAAGAGAGCAACAGCACCUUGGACAAUGGCAUAGCAUUGGGGAGGGGGGAACAGGUCACAGAUUGUGUAUGUGUGCUCUUGCGCAUGGCUCUUGCUCAUGGCAUGCCCAGGGCUAGUAGUGCUGACCGCCAAUUUUGGGGUCGGGAAGGAAUUUUCCUCCAGGGCAGAUUGGCCUGAGAUCCUGGAGGUUUUUCGCCUUCCCCUGGGCAUUGAGCAGGAGUCACCGGCCAUGUUAUAUGGCACCUUGAGAUCUGUAAAUAAUAUAUCAUGGGGAAAAACCCCUAUAAAAUUUAAAAAAUAAUCCAUCAAUAAAAAAGAAAGAAAAGAAAACCAA